UCUGUGUUCCUUAGAAAAGUCCCAGAUGGUCCAAAUGUAUAUCACAGGAGUCAUGCUUUAGGGACAAAUCAGUCCAAAAUGUAUGCGAUGGGGGACCAUUACAACUGGAAUAAGAUCUUAUACGGAUUCUCUUUGUGAGGAUUGCGGGGAUCACUUCGUUGUAUCUGUUCAUCUGUCAUCUUACGAUACGAUUCUCCGAGAUCUUUAGAAAGAGAAUCCGGAGAGGAUCCUCAUCCAUUACAACAAUUGGAUGGUGGUGAUUUUCAGUUGCAGUUGAGUCUGGGAAAUGAGAUACAUGGGAUUAAUUUCCUACAGUUUCUCUCUCCCUCUUUUUUUGGAGUAUUUUUCUUUCCUCGACGGUGAUUUUCACACUCUUAAUUUUUAAUCGAAAUGAGAGUGUAAAACUAGGGAUCGAGACUUGAAACCACACAGAAAUUUUUAAGAUAAUUUAACGGCCGUUAUUUUACGGUUUUCCUCUUACCUGUCCUUCAUGAUAUUUGAAAUGACUUUUUAAA